CAGUGAGGUAAUCCUCACAGCACAUUCCACGUUCCUGGAAAACUACUGGCCUUCUGGGCUGCCAUGUGUUUAUCCAGCAUAGGUUGUGUGGCACAGCACAGUUAUGAACACCACAAAAUUGAGCUGGAAAUCUCUAUGAGAUGAGAAGAAGCAUGACUCACUUCUCCCUGCCCUAGGGAUUACUUCUAGCUUUCAUUUUGAGGAACAUAUUCUCUUUGCUGCCCGAGUUCUUCUUUUUCAUAUACUGGAAACCAGUACUUAGGGAAGGGAUUAACUUUGUGCUUUGGAAUGCCUGUCAAGGAGAGAACUAACAUACAACACCAAAGACUGAGACACUAGUCUGAGAUCAGUGGGCAAGCCAGAUGAGCUCUUCUUUGGCUGAGUAACCCCAUUUUUGAAGCUGAUACUGUUGCAAUGAAAGGUGUGUCUUGGAUAGUGUAAAUUUGACAGCCACCUCAAUAACAGGCACUUCUUCUCAGUGCUCUCAUGAUACACUGAAUACAUUCUCCUAAUGCCUUUAAUGCUUCCAUUUCUCUGUAGUGUCUCAGAGGCUACUGAUGACACAGAUUUUCUUUGUCCACAAAAGGCUCAAUAGAUGUGUGGACAACUGCAGUUUUCCCAUGUCUAUGGAGCUAAAAUCCAAUGUGUAUGGCAUUUUUACUUCUUCUCCCAUUAAAUUCAGUAUUUUGGAAGCAUGUUUAUCUAGAUGGAAUAUUUUCUUUGAUAGAAAAUGUGAUGACCCUUUAAAAUGAAAUAGUGUAUGAUUUUCUGAUUUCAAUCAAAGUGCCAUUAGAAACCACCAAAGACCCCCAAAUGAUGGGUGAAUGGAUAGUGUUCAAGCUGAGAUAUUUUGAGUUAUUUGGGAUUGCUAUUAAACUUAACAUUUCUUCUUUUUUUUAUAAGACAUAUUCAGAAACAGGGAUCAUGGUCACAUCACGGUAACACAGUGCUCUAGAUGUAGUUAUUGGGGAUGGAGCUGAUAAUAUUGAUUUUAUUCUCUGUGCUCUUACUUUCCAGAUAGCUGUCCCUGGCUCAGAGAAAUGGACAGCCCCAGAAACCUGUUAGAAGUACAGAACUCAAACCUCACCUUGUCUGUAUUUGAAGUUGAUUCCCAGGGCAUUCUUGUGGGCUUUGUAAAUUUAGAAAAGUUCCAUGUUGAUUUUUCACAUAAAAGUCCUCAUCUGAUCUGGCCUAGAAAAGCCUGUUCUAGGAAGGAAAUAGCAGAAACAUUGCCAGCAUCCUAUCGUUACCUGGACAACUUUCUUCUGGAACAGAACACAUCAAAUGGUCAAUAAUCCUGAUUCUCUACUUCCCCUGACAAGAUUUAGAAGCAAAAGAAUUAUUCUCAGUGAAUAUAUUCUAGAGUUUUACAAGCUUAACAUUUUAGAGUUAAUAUCAAAUAGCAAAUAUCGACUUACAAAUGUGCAUAUAAAUUAUAUAUGAUUUCAGGAAGGUUGCACAUAUAAUUGGGCUAUAGAGAAGGAAAAUAAUUUUAUGAUAUGCCUUCUAAUUUUGUACAACCCAUUUAAAAGAUUUUGCAUAAUAGAUUCACUCGUCCCCCCACCUUUCCCUUAUUCUUCCCUUUGCUUUUUUACACCUUUACUAAGGGCCUACCAUGUGUUGGGUGCUGCAUUGAAUGUGAGGUAUGAAGAGAAUAUGGACACGGUUCUAGCUUUUGGAAAGAAAGGUUUACAGCCUGGAAGGAAGUGCCUCAAAGCAUUAGGGACUAUGAGCAAUGUCAGGCUCCAGAGCUGAGAAAUUUUGCCUUGUUGAGACCAUGUUCAGCAGGGCCUCAACGGAGCACAUAAAUCUUGGGUUGACCGUGGAGUGAUGCAUUGGGAAGAGUCAAAUCCAAAGAGACAGUGAUAACAGUUUUUAAAAGCCCAUGUAUUGCUAACGUCCAUUUAUGCAGGAUAAUCUGUGAGUGAGUAAGCAUGUAUGAUGAGCCUUACAGAUACAGAGUUAUGAAAGAACAGCCCCUAAAAUGUUAGCCCCUAAAAUGUUAUAUCAGGGCGACUGAGAUUCCAAGGAUGGGGGAUGAAUAGGUCCAGAAGGAAAACAUCUGUCAUCAGAGCAGACAAGUCUACAAAUUUCUUUCCAUCUCUUAGUGAAUGACAAUAGUAUACCUUAUAAAUAAAACAUCUCAAUAAUGUGA